CUUUAUUAAAACAAAAAGGUUUUGAUUAAAGGAAGAAGGUGCUGGAUCAAGUCUUCCACCCAUGACCUCUUAAAAAAGAGUAUUCCCCAUCCACAGCUCACACACUCCCGCCGUCGUAAUCCACUAUUGCCAUCGUCAAGCUCCAGCCCCGGCCAGACCCUCUGCCUCAUUCUCCAUCCCUGCUAAGCAUACAACCCCAUCUUUCUCCAGGCCGCCUCCACCACCAGCCUCGAGAGCCAGACCCAAGCUCGUUCGGCUAAGACAGCUGCUCGAGCGAAUUGAUAUGGGAGGGCUAUGCAGGUCGGCAGAGGUAGCGACCGCCGCCGCGAUACACCGGCGCCGAGCCCAGAGAACAAGAUUAUGUUGGGGCGCCAAUCUUCGUUCGAGAUAAAUCCUUGCGGCUAGAGCUAUUCUUUGGAAUUUCCUUGGUGCGCGCUACGGCACCUGCGCGACGGCGAGUAUCAUCCAGAUCAAUGCGCUCCCCCCUACAAGUGGAACUCCACGAGUCGCAACCGUCGGCUAUUGAACCUAACCGCUGAGAUUUUCUUCUGGGGGCAGUCAUUGUUUGGUUCCAGGAGAGGGCUAGAGCGAAAGAGUAACUAUAGCAAACAAAAGUGAUGCCUCUACUUCAUAAAAGGGUGAGCCGUGUCUCUAAGUCCGCUUGGCUGUAAUUUAUCCAUGUUAUUUACACUUCAAUGUCCGACACCUAUAGGGUCUGAUGAUUCACGACUGGCCGACUGGCCCUGUUAGAAUAAAAUGCUAAUGCAAGAUCA